rnacentral:snRNA from 1 species
AGAGUGGCCUUGCUGCCA